CCUCUGCUGUCACUCUGCAAAGCUCAUCCAGUUCCUGUCCUGAGUGGGCUCCCCAUUCUCCCUCCCUUAUAGUAACUCUGGGUAAGCAGCCUCAGCUCCCCUACUUGACAUCCUUCCUAGGAUCUGCUUUCCUGGAACAUGGAGUGUCCUCAGGGAUUGCAAUAGGUGAAGUUGGCCUGGGCCUGCCCCUCACUAUGCUGGUUUGUGGUUUUUCUUUGUUUUUGUGCAGGCUGGUACACACCCCCGAAGGAAGAUGGCUAACCCUGGAGUAUCAUCCCCUUCCUCCUCCCCAGGCACCACUGGACCAAUUACCUUUGAAUGCUGUAUUUGGAUCUCACGCUGCCUCUGGUUCCCCUCAUUUUUCCUGGACGUGAUAGCUCUGCCUAUUGCAGGACAAUGAUGGCUAUUCUAAACGCUAAGGAAAACCAACCACCCACAACACUGAACUGUCUCAAGUACUCAAGACUGACUACAGACCAACCACCUCGCUGGAACCCUUGCUAGCAGGCAUUCUUAUAAAGAAACUCUCAAGCCUCCUUAUAUUGCUGGAAACUCAGCUGUGCUCCAGACUAGAGCCUCCUUACCUAUGCUAUGGGUUUUAAUUUAUUUUCUCUUAUUUCAUGUACACUGCUCUUUUUGGUUACAGUGUAUGAUGGAUGUGUAUGAAAAAAAUGUAUCUUUGGGAAAACAAUUACAGUUUGUUAAUUUG
rnacentral:lncRNA from 1 species